AAGGAAUAUAAAUGUGAACUACCUCUAGCAGUUUAUCGUAGCAUAAAUAACCCUAAGAAGUGAAUUAUAUGGCAUAUAAAUUAUCUCUCAAUAAAGCUGUUUAAAGGUGAAAGUAAGAUAGUGUCUUUCUGUGGUUCCCCUUGAAGGUGCCUUUCUAAGGCUAGAUUUUUUUUUUUCCUCUAAGAGAGACUUCCCUUUCAUUCUCUUCUUUAGCAAACAUUUAUUGAACCUAAUGCUGUGCCACGUACUCUGCUGAGAAAUGGGGAGAUAAAGAUGGAUAAAAUGCAAUUGCUCCCUCAAUGGUUCCAGAGCAUAAUUGGGAAAAGAGACAGAGGAGUCACAAUGUAAUAAGUGACAGCUAUACUGGAGUUUCAGACACAUUGGAAAAAGUGCCCUGCAAUUCAUUUGUUUCUUCACUCAUUCGUUUAUUCAUUCAACAAAUUGUUGACCUUGGAGAUACAGAGGAGAUCCUAACCCAGAUGGCAUUCCAGUUAUGAUUUGGAAGAUUCCUGAC